GCCCAACUGAUCAUCGAUGGUUCGGUGUGCAGGCUUCAAACCUGUAGGCGAUCAAAAGUCGCAGCGGUUCGAUUCCGCCUGUUGGGCG